rnacentral:lncRNA from 1 species
GCUUGCCUGUGGAAGCGAUUAAUGCUAAAUCAAUUGCUGAAUAUAAGUCUCAUAUAGCUUAGUUUAUAAAUUACUUCUUUAAUUGUAUAUAUUUAAUUGUAUUAAUCUAAUUAUAGGCUACUUAUUUAAUUGUUUUUAUUAUAGUUAUCUACAUAUAUUUGGUAGUUUUGCACGGCUCCAGGGAAGAGCACACUAUGUGAAUUGGACUCCGUGUUUUUAAAUAAAAUCCUAAUAAUAAUAAUAACUUUAAUAUGCAAAAGAAAGGGUAAUUAAUAAAACUACACUGAAAUUAUAUGCUGUCUUUUUUCAGUUAUACACGCAAUGAUAGUAUCAGUUCGAUAUUUGCAGUAUCGCCCACCACUAUCAGUUAUAAAUAUAUCAAACAAUACAUCAAUAUUAAAACAAACUUACCUUCAUUAUAAACGUCGGCGACUUUGCUCUAUUCUUUUAGACGUUUUUAGACUUUUUUGGCUCUCAGAAAAGUUUUAAAAUUUACAAAAUCUUGCAAAAAUACAACUUGCAAGAAAUGUUUGUUAUUUUGCUGUCGUCAAUGCAGUCGUUCAAUGCAAAUUUCAAAUUUGACCAAUCAGUGUUCACUACUCACGACAUUCUCGUACCCAGAGCCCUUCUUACGCGCGGUGCGACGAGGGGCUCUGGCCAAAUCCAUAUUCCGAACUGGCAUCUGAUUGGCUAGUUCUAACACUGGACAUUGUUUUCUUACCAUGUUUUUAUGGUAUCCGGUUAUGGAUUUGGCCAGAGCCCCUCGUCGCAUCACGCGUAAGAAGGGCUCUGGGUACGAGAAUGUACUCACGACAGUCCGCUACAUAUUUUGGAUUUUACUACAUCCCGGGCGUUCUUUGUCAGUGCCCGCGAUCACAAUUAGUAUUAUCAGCGGUAUAUGAUGAUAACAUCGAGUGUUUCCUGAAAUCACAAUGUUUGAAAGAAAACAUCUUAACGGCCAAAUAUAAAUUAUAUAAUACUCGAUGUGAAUUUAUAACUUGAUUAAACUGUAACAGUUUGUCAGCAUGUUAAUCUAUAUUUCAAGAUAUCAGUUUGCUUCUAGUCAGUUUAUUUGAUCCAGACAUAUUGCCUUUUAAUUUUUUGACAAAAAUGUUUAUGUUUUAGCACUAAUUUAACAGAUCUUAUAUGAGCUAGUAACAUUUAUAGCAACUCAAAUAAAAAAUAACCAAGUGACUGGACAGACGGGAGUUAUUUCGUAUUUUGUAGCAAUAUAAAAACUUUUGUUUGCGGUAAUCUUCACCAAGUUUGUCGUUAGCUCAAGCGGUAAAGGCGCUGCGUACCGAAAGUGAAACGGGGUCGGGAUCGAUGCCAAACAUUUAUUAUCUGAUUUAGCUCUUUUUCUCAAUUUUUUUAAUUUUUUUUCUUUCUUCCUUUCUUAACUCUUAAAAGUUAGGCCGGUUAGUGUUUAGGAUCGGUAUAAAAUCUAAAGUGCUUUAAAAAAGUUUUAAUCUUUUUUUAUCUGGUUGAAAAUGUUUGAAUAUUGAGUUGCGAACUCAACCGCUGGUAAUUCUAAUUGUGAUCGCGGGCACUGACAAAGAACGGCCGGGAUGUAGUAAAAUCCACAUAUUUUGAGAUCAAUGAGGAUGACCACCCAUGAACGGUGAGCCAUGCGCCCAUAGAGAUUAUAAAUAACACUAGAAGAGGCCCCUGCGCUCCUUCGCCCAACGGCUACGCUCGUGUUCCAAGAUCCGCCAUGUAAAAUGUAGUGAAAUGUAUACUAAAGCCUCUGCGGAGGAGAGAGAGAAGAGGCAUUGUAAUCUUAAUUCAGUCAAAAAAGGGAACGCGGCUAUUGGGGGCAAAUUUAAGUCCCGGAUGUGUAUUCAUGUUUCCAUUGGUGACGAGUUUCAAAUCAGCCAAUCAGAACACGAUUUUAUAUCCGGGACUUGAAUAUGCCCCCAUUAGCUGCGUUCCCAAUUUUUAACCUCGAUGCCUCCUCUAGUGUUAUUUAUAAUCUCUAUGCAUGCGCCCGCGAUAUUUGAUGACUUUAGACUUCGUUAGUGCGUUUCUUUCCCCGGGUGUAAAUAGCCGGGCGGAAUUAGUACCCUCGCACGGCGCUUCGCGCCGUCGGCUAGGGCAUUAACAAUUAUUCGCCGAAGGCGAAGUGAUUACCGGUGAAUAUUCGCCGAGACGAAGUGGAGGUGAAUAUUCACAGCCUAGUCCCUAGGCCUCUUAGUAUUCACCGUAAUCACUGAGCCUGAGGCGAAUAAUUGUUUUAGUAUAAAUUUUUAAUAAAUAAAAUAAAAUAUCCAAAUAUCAGUUUAAUAAUUAAAAUUCAAAAAUAAAACUGUUUUCGGCCGAUUUUACGGUUGCUGUUAUAGUGUUGCAGGGUUGCUUGCACACGCACGCUUUCAAAAUGACUUCCUGUGCGACUUUAUUGCUUUAUUGCAAAGUUGUUUUUCUUGAUUUCUGCUUGGAAUAUAGACAUAAUGAUGGGAUGACUUUUUUACCAAACUUAGAAUUAAAAAAUAGUUUCUGUUUAGCAUUAAUUUGUUCAGGAAAUGCCUGAGGGAAUUGGUAAAGUGGGAUGUAAAACAAUUGCUCGACUGCCUAUAAAAAUAAAGUUUUAAUACACUUUUCACUUUACAAGUUUCGAAAAAACAAUACAUCGGCAGGACACCUGAUACAGCAAUGAAAACAUGACAUAUCAAAAGAAAUGGUAUCGUACAAAUUCAGAUACCUAUAGGAUACAAAACAAAAUGGUUUUCAAAGAAUAUCACGGUAAGGUUUUACUCAACAGUUGGGAUAGCUUUUGCUAUUUGUUUGAAGUGAAUGUUUCGCCAUUUCGGAUUUUUAAAUAAGUUUUAAAUUGUCC